rnacentral:rRNA from 1 species
AAGAAUAAGCACCGGCUAACUUCGUGCCAGGCAGCCGCGGUAAUACGAAGGGUGCAAGCGUUACUCGGGAAUUACUGGGCGUAAAGCGUGCGUAGGUGGUCGUUUAAAGUCCCGUUGUGAAAGCCCUGGGCUCAACCUGGGAAACUGCAGUGGAUACUGGGCGACUAGAGUGUGGUAGAGGGUAGCGGAAUUCCUGGUGUAGCAGUGAAAUGCGUAGAGAUCAGGAGGAACAUCCAUGGCGAAGGCAGCUACCUGGACCAACACUGACACUGAGGCACGAAAGCGUGGGGAGCAAACAGGAUUAGAUACCCUGGUAGUCCACGCCCUAAACGAUGCGAACUGGAUGUUGGGUGCAAUUUGGCACGCAGUAUCGAAGCUAACGCGUUAAGUUCGCCGCCUGGGGAGUACGGUCGCAAGACUGAAACUCAAAGGAAUUUGACGGGGGGCCCCGCACAAGCGGUGGAGUAUGUGGUUUAAUUUCGAUGCAACGCGAAGAAGCCUUUACCCUGGGCCUUUGACGAUGUCGAAGAACUUUUCCAGAAGAAUGGGAUGGGUGGCCUUCGGGAACUCGAACACAGGUGCUUGCCAUGGCUGUCCGUCAGCUCGUGUCGUGGAGAAUGUUUAGGGGAUUACAGGUCCCGCAACGAGCGCAACCCUUGUCCUUAGUUGCCAGCACGUAAUGGUGGGAACUCUAAGGAGACCGCCGGUGACAAACCGGAGGAAGGUGGGGAUGACGUCAAGUCAUC